rnacentral:rRNA from 1 species
UGGGGAAUUUUGGACAAUGGGCGAAAGCCUGAUCCAGCAAUGCCGCGUGUGUGAAGAAGGCCUUCGGGUCGUAAAGCACUUUUGUCCGGAAAGAAAUCCUUGGCUCUAAUACAGUCGGGGGAUGACGGUACCGGAAGAAUAAGCACCGGCUAACUACGUGCCAGCAGCCGCGGUAAUACGUAGGGUGCAAGCGUUAAUCGGAAUUACUGGGCGUAAAGCGUGCGCAGGCGGUUUGCUAAGACCGAUGUGAAAUCCCCGGGCUCAACCUGGGAACUGCAUUGGUGACUGGCAGGCUAGAGUAUGGCAGAGGGGGGUAGAAUUCCACGUGUAGCAGUGAAAUGCGUAGAGAUGUGGAGGAAUACCGAUGGCGAAGGCAGCCCCCUGGGCCAAUACUGACGCUCAUGCACGAAAGCGUGGGGAGCAAACAGGAUUAGAUACCCUGGUAGUCCACGCCCUAAACGAUGUCAACUAGUUGUUGGGGAUUCAUUUCCUUAGUAACGUAGCUAACGCGUGAAGUUGACCGCCUGGGGAGUACGGUCGCAAGAUUAAAACUUAAAGGAAUUGACGGGGUCAUAGCUGUUU